CCAGACUCCUACGGGAGGCAGCAGUGGGGAAUAUUGCACAAUGGGGGGAACCCUGAUGCAGCGACGCCGCGUGAGCGAUGAAGUAUUUCGGUAUGUAAAGCUCUAUCAGCAGGGAAGAAGAUGACGGUACCUGACUAAGAAGCCCCGGCUAACUACGUGCCAGCAGCCGCGGUAAUACGUAGGGGGCAAGCGUUAUCCGGAUUUACUGGGUGUAAAGGGAGCGUAGACGGCGAUGCAAGCCAGAUGUGAAAGCCCGGGGCUCAACCCCGGGACUGCAUUUGGAACUGUGUGGCUGGAGUGCAGGAGGGGCAGGCGGAAUUCCUGGUGUAGCGGUGAAAUGCGUAGAUAUCAGGAGGAACACCGGUGGCGAAGGCGGCCUGCUGGACUGCAACUGACGUUGAGGCCCGAAAGCGUGGGGAGCAAACAGGAUUAGAUACCCUCGUAG
rnacentral:rRNA from 1 species